rnacentral:rRNA from 1 species
UACGGGGGGGGCAAGCGUUGUUCGGAAUUACUGGGCGUAAAGGGCGCGUAGGCGGCUUUUCAAGUCGGGCGUGAAAGCUCCGGGCUUAACCCGGAAAUGUCGCUCGAUACUGUUGAGCUAGAGUGUGGGAAGAGGCUACUGGGAAUUCCGGUGUGUAGCGGGUGAAAUGCGUAGAUAUACGGAGGAACACCAGCGGCGAAGGCGG